rnacentral:rRNA from 1 species
UGCUCAGAUUGAACGCGGCGGCAUGCUUACACAUGCAAGUCGAACGGCAGCACGGGUGCUUGCACUGGUGGCGAGUGGCGAACGGGUGAGUAAUACAUCGGAACAUGUCCUGUAGUGGGGGAUAGCCCGGCGAAAGCCGGAUUAAUACCGCAUACGAUCUAUGGAUGAAAGCGGGGGACCUUCGGGCCUCGCGCUAUAGGGUUGGCCGAUGGCUGAUUAGCUAGUUGGUGGGGUAAAGGCCUACCAAGGCGACGAUCAGUAGCUGGUCUGAGAGGACGACCAGCCACACUGGGACUGAGACACGGCCCAGACUCCUACGGGAGGCAGCAGUGGGGAAUUUUGGACAAUGGGCGAAAGCCUGAUCCAGCAAUGCCGCGUGUGUGAAGAAGGCCUUCGGGUUGUAAAGCACUUUUGUCCGGAAAGAAAUCCUUGGCUCUAAUACAGUCGGGGGAUGACGGUACCGGAAGAAUAAGCACCGGCUAACUACGUGCCAGCAGCCGCGGUAAUACGUAGGGUGCAAGCGUUAAUCGGAAUUACUGGGCGUAAAGCGUGCGCAGGCGGUUUGCUAAGACCGAUGUGAAAUCCCCGGGCUCAACCUGGGAACUGCAUUGGUGACUGGCAGGCUAGAGUAUGGCAGAGGGGGGUAGAAUUCCACGUGUAGCAGUGAAAUGCGUAGAGAUGUGGAGGAAUACCGAUGGCGAAGGCAGCCCCCUGGGCCAAUACUGACGCUCAUGCACGAAAGCGUGGGGAGCAAACAGGAUUAGAUACCCUGGUAGUCCACGCCCUAAACGAUGUCAACUAGUUGUUGGGGAUUCAUUUCCUUAGUAACGUAGCUAACGCGUGAAGUUGACCGCCUGGGGAGUACGGUCGCAAGAUUAAAACUCAAAGGAAUUGACGGGGACCCGCACAAGCGGUGGAUGAUGUGGAUUAAUUCGAUGCAACGCGAAAAACCUUACCUACCCUUGACAUGGUCGGAAUCCUGAAGAGAUUCGGGAGUGCUCGAAAGAGAACCGGCGCACA